UCUUGAAGUUUAAAAACUUUAAUGUAAAUGUGAUUGGAUAAAUUUUCAUCAUGGUUUGAUCAAGGAAAUGAACUCGUUGAACAAGGAAUAUAAGAGGAAAAAGAUAACUUUCAAUUUGUUCAGUUUUACUGUUAAUAAUGUAAUUUUAAGGAUUACAACCACGGAAAAGAAACAAUCGCGCUUUUCCCACAAAACAUUUACCGCAUUUGAAAGUCCUGCUAUCGUUACAUCGCUAAAGAUAAUUAUUUGAAAACGAACUUACCUCUCAUUCUUUCCCUUUGUCCCAUCCUAUUAGGAUUGCUAAAAUGAAUCACUUGCUACCAUUUAGUUCUGUCAAUAAAAUUCUCUCGUUAAAUUAUUACAUUACAUUUUACAAUGGCAAGUCAUAUUAUUGCAAUAAGCAGGGCUCCAAUGUUCAUAAUAAGUAUUGAGCACGACAAAAGCUUUUCUAUAACAUGUGGGUGAUUCCCACGUGAAUAAAUUACAAGCUUUUGAUAUGCCUUCUAAUUUAUUUGUUGACGUAACAAGUUGAAUAAAGGUGGUCAGGUGGGAGAAAAAUGAUAACUCUCCAAGCUAUGGUGCAUUGAAUUGCGGUUUUGGACAUGUCGAGCGUACGGACAGUGAAAGAACGCGAACUCUGGCAGUGGUACAAGAGAUGAAGAUCAAGAAGAA